GGCGUCUCGGGCUAUGGUGGCCCCAGCGUCGUCGACCAGGAACCCGGUGAGAGUCCGGGACGGUCCCGCCACUGUGAGCCGUCACCCGCGAGGGAGGCGGUGAGUCAGGAACUGCCGGCAGCGCCUCACCUUC
rfam:Terrabacter sp. 28 contig30, whole genome shotgun sequence.